AUUGAACGCUGGCGGCAUGCUUUACACAUGCAAGUCGAACGGUAACAGCACUUCGGUGGCUGACGAGUGGCGAACGGGUGAGUAAUACAUCGGAACGUGCCUAGUAGUGGGGGAUAACUACUCGAAAGAGUAGCUAAUACCGCAUGAGAUCUAAGGAUGAAAGCAGGGGACCUUCGGGCCUUGCGCUACUAGAUCGGCUGAUGGCAGAUUAGGUAGUUGGUGGGAUAAAAGCUUACCAAGCCGGCGAUCUGUAGCUGGUCUGAGAGGACGACCAGCCACACUGGGACUGAGACACGGCCCAGACUCCUACGGGAGGCAGCAGUGGGGAAUUUUGGACAAUGGGCGCAAGCCUGAUCCAGCAAUGCCGCGUGCAGGAUGAAGGCCUUCGGGUUGUAAACUGCUUUUGUACGGAACGAAAAGCCCUCUUCUAAUACAGGAGGGUCAUGACGGUACCGUAAGAAUAAGCACCGGCUAACUACGUG
rnacentral:rRNA from 1 species